rnacentral:lncRNA from 1 species
GGCUGUUAGAGAAGGCCCCGAGCACUGUGCUUAAAGCAAGGUUGAUCCUGUGGAGGUCUCAUUCCUCAGCACUCAGAGCAUCCUUCAAUUAUGCCUAUGUUUGGUGGGAUGAGAGUGGGGCCUCAGAUUUGGUGAAUGUUACCCUUUCUCUAAAAGACCCCAGACAGUUCUCUACUCACUCACUCUCAGAGCUCUUCCCUUCUACUUAGAUUUUGGGAGCAGGCAGAGAAACUGCUUUUACUCCAUGAGGCCCUGGGCCCAAUGGCGAUCUGGCUGCCCCCUCAUUCUUCCACACCACCUCUACCCCUGACUGGGAGCUUCAGGCUGAGCCUGAGAACUCUGAUCAGAGCCAUAGCUUUUCUGAUGCCCUGGCUUUUUGCUAUCUCAGGGAAUGGACACAGUCACUCUGCACACUGGGACAGUCAACUUGUGUCCAACUGAGGGACUAAUUCAGGAAGGACAUCAGGAUACCUCUGUGUACCUGGCCUCAGGCCCUGGAAAAGAUUUGGGUUCAAGGCAUGUAGCACGACAAAAUUCACAGCCAGUAUCACAGGAGAAGUGUUUCUGAAUAAAGGUCAAAGAAGUUUCUAGACAGAAGGGGACCUUGACUCAGGACCAGCUAGGAUCUUGACUUAUGCGACAGAAGAAAAUUUCAGCACACGCCAGUCAGCAGCACAGAGAUUUAUUACUAAGUAAAUCUGUUAUUUGUUAUCCAGAAAAAUGGCCUAAUUGGUUCUUGCUGGGCAUUGAUUUGUGUGGGUUUAUCUUAUAACAACUCACCUUCUUGGUUUCCAUUUUAAGGUUUAUUAUUCGUCACUUCUCCUGGAUUUCCUAUAUGAUACUUAAUAACUUUAUCUUUUCCUUUCUAGUACUUAUACCUUUUAUUUAUUUCCUCGUUUAUAGCUUGGCUAAGACUGUCAAUGUAACAUUGAAAACCACACCUGCUUUGGCUUCCUUUCCUUCCCCAUCUCACUUCCCC